UGGGUUAACUCCGGGAAACCGGGGCUAAUACCGGAUAUGAGCCUUGAUCGCAUGAUCGGGGCUGGAAAGUUUUUCGGUUGAAGAUGACUUCGCGGCCUAUCAGCUUGUUGGUGAGGUAAUGGCUCACCAAGGCGACGACGGGUAGCCGGCCUGAGAGGGCGACCGGCCACACUGGGACUGAGACACGGCCCAGACUCCUACGGGAGGCAGCAGUGGGGAAUAUUGGGCAAUGGAGGAAACUCUGACCCAGCGACGCCGCGUGAGGGAUGAAGGCCUUCGGGUUGUAAACCUCUUUCAGUAGGGAAGAAGCGAAAGUGACGGUACCUACAGAAGAAGCACCGGCUAACUAUGUGCCAGCAGCCGCGGUAAUACAUAGGGUGCAAGCGUUGUCCGGAAUUAUUGGGCGUAAAGAGCUCGUAGGUGGUUCGAUACGUCGGAUGUGAGAAUCAGGGGCUCAACCCCUGACCUGCAUCCGAUACGGUCGAGCUAGAGUUUGGUAGGGGAGACUGGAAUUCCUGGUGUAGCGGUGGAAUGCGCAGAUAUCAGGAGGAACACCGAUGGCGAAGGCAGGUCUCUGGGCCAAUACUGACACUGAGGAGCGAAAGCGUGGGGAGCGAACAGGAUUAGAUACCCUGGUAGUCCACGCCGUAAACGGUGGGCGCCUAGUUGUGCGAACCUUUCCACGGUUUGUGCGACGCAGCUAACGCAUUAAGCGCCCCGCCUGGGGAGUAC
rnacentral:rRNA from 1 species